GGUCGAGUAUCCAAGAGGCUUAAGGGCGCGGACUGCAAAUCCGAUAUUCGUGGGUUCAAAUCCCACCUCGACCU
rnacentral:tRNA from 1 species